GACGAACGCUGGCGGCGUGCUUAACACAUGCAAGUCGAACGGAAAGGCCCUGCUUUUGUGGGGUGCUCGAGUGGCGAACGGGUGAGUAACACGUGAGUAACCUGCCCUUGACUUUGGGAUAACUUCAGGAGACUGGGGCUAAUACCGGAUAGGAGCUCCUGCUGCAUGGUGGGGGUUGGAAAGUCUCGGCGGUUGGGGAUGGACUCGCGGCUUAUCAGCUUGUUGGUGGGGUAGUGGCUUACCAAGGCUUUGACGGGUAGCCGGCCUGAGAGGGUGACCGGCCACAGUGGGCCUGAGGUACGGCCCAGACUCCUACGGGAGGCAGCAGCGGGGAAUAUUGCACAAUGGGCGGAAGGCUGAUGCAGCAACGCCGCGUGCGGGAUGACGGCCUUCGGGUUGUAAACCGCUUUCGCGUGUGACGAAGCGUGAGUGACGGUAAUGGGUAAAGAAGCACCGGCUAAUUACGU
rnacentral:rRNA from 1 species